GUGCUCGCUUUGGCAGCACAUAUACUAAAAUUGGAACGAUACAGAGAAGAUUAGCAUGGUGCCGAACGUCUGAGAUUCAAGACAUACACAUCCAGCCAAGCUGU